AUCAACUUGCCCAUAAAUAUAGACCUUUCAAUACUUCAUUCAGUCUAUAGGAAAUAUUGUACAUAUUCUCCAAUACUAAUAUUUUAAAUAUUAUCUUAAAUAAAAUUAAGAUAUAUCAUACAUUCAAUAAAAUGGCUAUGCCUAAUCACUUUAAAAAGCAUACUGCUUACUUUACAUACACAAAUAAACCAUGCCUUGGACCCUGGAUUGUUAAGAACAAUUUUACUAUAUCCAAAGAAUGCACGAAUGCAAUCUGCCUUCAAAAAAAUUAUUUUUCUGUAUGAUGCUAAAGAA